rnacentral:rRNA from 1 species
GACGUAGGGCGCGAGCGUUGUCCGGAUUUAUUGGGCGUAAAGAGCUCGUAGGCGGCUUGUUGCGUCGACCGUGAAAACCCGGGGCUCAACUUCGGGCUUGCGGUCGAUACGGGCGGGCUAGAGUUCGGUAGGGGAGACUGGAAUUCCUGGUGUAGCGGUGAAAUGCGCAGAUAUCAGGAGGAACACCGGUGGCGAAGGCGGGUCUCUGGGCUGACACUGACGCUCAUGCACGAAAGCGUGGGGAGCAAACAGG